GCGAUAAUUCUGGUCAGGCAGAGCGGAGCGUGUGGACGGCUGGGCUCCUAACGGACGGAUCGCUCUGCCAGAGGAAGCAGCCGAGGUUUUGUUUCCUCGUUUCCGGCCUCGCAGAAUCGUAACACAAUGAAGUGAAAUGUGGAGACGUGGUCACUAAUCCAGUAACAUGUCCCAUCAUGCACUGCUUCCAAGAAGACGGAUCAGAAAGACAACGGAGGACUGGUGUCAUUUCCACAGAUUAAGACGUAUUUUGUAGAAUUAAAACGUAUUUUGUUGCUUUCA